ACCAAUCUUCUAUCACUAUAUUGUUGCCCUGGAGCCAGCUGACAAUGGAUUGAACCCUCUGAAACUCUAAGCCAAAGAAACUUCUGUCCUUGCAGGUGCCAGAGUCUCUCAAUCAUUCUUGUGAAACCUUAGUGACAGAGAUUAGCACUGCUCAGUGUGCAAGACAUUCACUGUUGGGAGCAUCGUGGACAAGCUGAAGCUUCUAGAGUUCCUUCUGAUUUGGGACAAGGCCUUGAUAAGACUGGGGAAGAACAGUGGGCUCCCAGCAGUAAAAAAAGGUAAGCCCUAAUCCGCAUGGAGCAGAUUCCUUCUUCUAUUCCUCUUCCCUAUUUUUUUCUGUGUAUUUCUUUUGUUUACU